rnacentral:rRNA from 1 species
AGCCUGAUGCAGCCAUGCCGCGUGUAUGAAGAAGGCCUUCGGGUUGUAAAGUACUUUCAGCGGGGAGGAAGGCGAUGUGGUUAAUAACCGCGUCGAUUGACGUUACCCGCAGAAGAAGCACCGGCUAACUCCGUGCCAGCAGCCGCGGUAAUACGGAGGGUGCAAGCGUUAAUCGGAAUUACUGGGCGUAAAGCGCACGCAGGCGGUCUGUUAAGUCAGAUGUGAAAUCCCCGGGCUUAACCUGGGAACUGCAUUUGAAACUGGCAGGCUUGAGUCUCGUAGAGGGGGGUAGAAUUCCAGGUGUAGCGGUGAAAUGCGUAGAGAUCUGGAGGAAUACCGGUGGCGAAGGCGGCCCCCUGGACGAAGACUGACGCUCAGGUG